CACAGCAAGUUUUCAGCUUGUCAUGGGAGAUGUAAUAAAAGUAUCGCAACCUACAAUCUCAAGAAUUAUUUUUUGAGUGUCAAUUUUGUUAGUCAGUCAUAUUAAUGUAUACAUCAAGAUGCCACUAUCAGCUGUAAAAAGGAUUGAAAAUAAACGUUUAUUUGAAGAGCUUGGACGUGUUGAAGCUAUAGGUUUAUCUUCUUUUAGUGGAGCAAUCGAUUGCACGCAUAUUCGACUGACACAUACUAGAUUUCAAGCCAUUGAUGAAAUAUUUAAAAAUCGAAAAGGAUAUUUUUCGUUAAAUGUUCACACACACAAAACUUGAGUGGAAAUGUCCACCAUAAUCGUGUGUACCAGCUCGUUUAUCACGACAUCUCUCCAGGAAGGGAGUUUGCUACCUCGAGCCCUGCAGAAAUAAUUUUCUGUUUGUGCUAAUAAAGCUGAAGAUGGCUCAAAGGAAGAGCCAAAACGUUCUUUACUUGUAAAUACACGUUUUAAUUUUUAUUGCGCACCACGUUCCGCGCUUGACUCGCAUCGCCGUUUGUACAGAUGACAUUUUCACGAGUCUAGAUAUAUUAUUAGUUUUAAUUUAAUUUUAACAUUACAUAAUAUC